GUGGACCCACACAACCAGGGCAUCUUACUUAUCUAGACAAACCAAUAAAAAUUUAUGUCAAAAAAAAAUCACAAAUCUCUCCGUCGUACAUAGUCUAAACCAUUCCCUGAACAAAAAGGAUAAAUCCCUCUUCAACUUUACCCAGAAUCUCUAAACAUAAGGCAAGGUCUUCUCAACAAUUAGUCGCACAUAUUUUCUUAACAAAACACCAAAAGAUGAACUGUAAAUUCAG
rnacentral:lncRNA from 1 species